CAAUAGCGUAUAUUAAAGUUGUUGCGGUUAAAAAGCUCGUAGUUGGAUUUCUGCCGAGGACGACCGGUCCGCCCUCUGGGUGAGUAUCUGGCUCGGCCUGGGCAUCUUCUUGGAGAACGUAGCUGCACUUGACUGUGUGGUGCGGUAUCCAGGACUUUUACUUUGAGGAAAUUAGAGUGUUUCAAGCAGGCUUACGCCUUGAAUACAUUAGCAUGGAAUAAUAAGAUAGGACCUCGGUUCUAUUUUGUUGGUUUCUAGAGCUGAGGUAAUGAUUAAUAGGGAUAGUUGGGGGCAUUCGUAUUUAACUGUCAGAGGUGAAAUCCUUGGAUUUGUUAAAGACGGACUACUGCGAAAGCAUUUGCCAAGGAUGUUUUCAUUGA
rnacentral:rRNA from 1 species